rnacentral:misc_RNA from 1 species
AGCAACCGCCGACAAGCACGAUGCUCUCCUGUGCCUCAUUCAACAAACUGAUCUACCCCUCGGCCGCGGAUGUGUCCGCCGUGGCCAGUGGCAAGUCGUCCACCGUGGCCGUGGAUGGCGGUGUAGGUGCUGACUCUGGCGGCGGGGUCAAUCCUGUCGGCAUCGGGUCCCUGGCCAGUCUCCAGGCCCUGCCAUCGGGUACCUUGGCCGGAAGCGGGGCCCCCAGCGAGACCCAGAGCGAGAUCUCGUCGGUGGACAGCGAUUGGAGUGACAUACGUGCCAUUGCACUGAAGCUGGGCGUACAAAAUCCAGACGAUCUGCACACGGAACGUUUCAAGGUUGAUCGACAGAAACUGGAGCAGUUGAUAAAGGCGGACAGCGCCAUCGAGGGCAUGAAUGGGGCUGAGUAUUUCUUUCAUGAUAUCAUGAACACGACAGAUACGUAUGUAAGCUGGCCUUGCAGACUCAAGAUCGGCGCCAAGAGCAAGAAGGAUCCCCAUGUACGGAUUGUGGGCAAAGUGGAGCAAGUGCAGCGUGCCAAGGAGCGCAUACUGAGCAGCCUUGACUCGAGGGGCACUCGUGUGAUCAUGAAGAUGGACGUCAGCUACACGGACCACUCCUACAUAAUUGGACGCGGCGGGAACAAUAUCAAGCGCAUCAUGGACGACACUCACACCCAUAUCCACUUUCCGGACUCGAACCGUUCGAAUCCCACUGAGAAGUCCAAUCAGGUGUCGCUGUGCGGCAGUCUAGAAGGAGUCGAGCGGGCCCGUGCCUUGGUCCGUCUAUCCACCCCAUUGCUCAUCUCGUUCGAGAUGCCCGUGAUGGGUCCUAGCAAGCAGCAGCCGGAUCAUGAUACGCCCUACAUCAAGAUGAUUGAGAGCAAGUUCAAUGUGCAGGUCAUAUUCUCAACACGUCCGAAGUUGCACACCUCGCUGGUCCUGGUGAAGGGCUCCGAGAAAGAGUCGGCCCAGGUCCGUGAUGCCACCCAGCUGCUGAUCAACUUUGCCUGUGAGAGCAUCGCGAGCCAAAUCCUCGUCAAUGUCCAGAUGGAGAUCUCUCCGCAACAUCAUGAGAUCGUCAAGGGGAAGAACAACGUGAAUCUGUUGAGCAUCAUGGAACGCACGCAGACCAAGAUCAUAUUUCCCGAUCUUAGCGACAUGAACGUAAAGCCGCUGAAGAAGUCGCAGGUGACGAUCAGCGGACGCAUCGACGACGUCUACAAGGCGCGACAACAAUUGCUUGGCAAUUUGCCCGUAGCAUUGAUAUUUGACUUUCCCGACAACCAGAACGAUGCCUCCGAAAUAAUGAGCCUCAAUACCAAGUACGGUGUCUACAUCACGCUGCGACAGAAGCAGCGCCAAAGCACACUGGCCAUCGUGGUCAAGGGCGUCGAGAAGUUUAUAGACAAGAUAUAUGAGGCUCGCCAAGAGAUCCUUCGCCUGGCCACGCCCGCUAUCAAGCCAGAAGUCCCCGAUCACUACUUCAUGCCCAAGGACAAGGACCUAAAUCUGGCCUAUCGCACACAGCUGACGGCUCUUCUCGCCGGCUACGUGGAUAGUCCCAAGACUCCGUCGCUGCUGCCGCCAGCACUCGCGGGACAACUGACGCCGUACGCCAACAACAACCAUCUGCUGCUCAACGCGAAUGCGGCGGUGGGUGGCCUGGCCACGCCGACCGGCAUCUGUGCGCCCACCCAGAAGUACAUGCAGCUGCAUAACAGCGCUUUUCAGCACCAGCAGCUUCAGGGACAGGGGCAGGUGCAGGGACCAGGCCAAGGACGUCCUGGUCCUGUGCCCAACCACAACAACAACUAUCUGCAGGUUCCUGGAACGGCUAAUGCGGGUGCGGGGGUUGGGGCUGGAGCGGGCAUGCUUAAGCCACCUCCUCCGCCCUCGUCGGGUGUCGGCGGCGGAAUGAAUGUCUCGCCGAGGAACAGCUGCAGCCAGAAUACGAGCGGCUACCAGAGCUUCAGCAGCAGCACGACCUCCUUGGAACAGUCGUAUCCACCGUACGCCCAGCUCCAGGGAGCGGUGUCGUCCACCUCGUCGACGGGCUGCGGCAGCCGGGCCCACUACUCGCCGGACUCCACCUACAGCAGCGAGGCGGGCAGCAUUGGCGGGGCCGCUCGUCUCGGACGGCGCCUCAGCGACGGAGUUCUUCUGGGCCUGGGCAACUCCGGAGGCGGCGGAGCCCACCUGCUGCCCGGUAGUGCAGAGAGCUAUCGCAGCCUGCACUACGACCUGGCUGGAGGCGGCGGAGGUGCUAAGCACCACCACCAGCAUGCCACGCAUCGCGCUUUCGACUUUGACAUGAAGCGCGCCCUGGGCUUCAAAGCCAUGGAGCGGACUCCGGUGGCGGGAGAGCUUCGCACCCCCACCCCGGCCUGGAUGGGCAUGGGGCUGAGCUGCACCUCUCCGGCUCCGAUCGAGACGGUGGACGACAACGGGGCUGCUGGCGGCGGUCAGGGUUGGCGUAUGCCCCCACCGCCGCCAGGACUCAGCUCUCCGUACGGACUGAGUGCCACCACAGGACUGCUGGAUGCCACGCCCGUGAACCGCCGGAUGCAGUUGUCGCAGCACAAGGACAUUCAGACACUGCUCACAAGUCUCGGCCUGGAGCAUUACAUCAGCACUGGUUGGGAAAAUUAAACUCAGUUUUCAGGAGAGACAUUUAAGUUAAAGCUUGACAAACAGGUGUCGCAAAUGCGAUGUGUACUGGAUUCGUAUGAUCGGAUCCCCAUGUCAGUCACUAAGAGUCAAGAAGUGCAGAAUUAUCCUCAGAUGAAUUUACAACUCCAUUCUCUCAAAUCAGAUGAACUUUUUUCAAGAUGGGUUUAGAAACAAUAGAAAUACUCCCUUGAUAAUAUUUAUCUAUAUUAGUUCAGAUCUAUUAUUAAUCACUCGAGAUCUUUGUGCUCAACGAAAUCGAUCUGGAAAUGUUCACCACGCUGACCGAGGAGAAUCUAAUGGAGUUGGGUAUCACGGCAUUUGGAGCCC